GGUGAACGCUGGCGGCGUGCCUAAUACAUGCAAGUCGAGCGAACAGACGAGGAGCUUGCUCCUCUGACGUUAGCGGCGGACGGGUGAGUAACACGUAGAUAACCUACCUAUAAGACUGGGAUAACUUCGGGAAACCGGAGCUAAUACCGGAUAAUAUAUUGAACCGCAUGGUUCAAUAGUGAAAGACGGUUUUGCUGUCACUUAUAGAUGGAUCCGCGCCGCAUUAGCUAGUUGGUAAGGUAACGGCUUACCAAGGCAACGAUGCGUAGCCGACCUGAGAGGGUGAUCGGCCACACUGGAACUGAGACACGGUCCAGACUCCUACGGGAGGCAGCAGUAGGGAAUCUUACGCAAAGGGCGAAAGCCUGACGGAGCAACGCCGCGUGAGUGAUGAAGGUCUUCGGAUCGUAAAGCUCUGUUAUUAGGGAAGAACAAAUGUGUAAGUAACUAUGCACGUCUUGACGGUACCUAAUCAGAAAGCCACGGCUAACUACGUG
rnacentral:rRNA from 1 species